rnacentral:rRNA from 1 species
CCUACGGGUGGCAGCAGUGGGGAAUAUUGCACAAUGGGGGAAACCCUGAUGCAGCGACGCCGCGUGAGUGAUGAAGUACUUCGUUAUGUAAAGCUCUAUCAGCAGGGAAGAAAAUGCCGGUACCUGAGUAAGAAGCCCCGGCUAACUACGUGACAGCAGCCGCGGUAAUACGUAGGGGGAAAGCGUUAUCUGGAUUUACUGGGUGUAAAUGGAGCGUAGACGGCAGGGCAAGUCUCGCGUGAAAGGCGGGGGCUCAACCCCCGGACUGCUCUUGAAACUGGACGGCUGGAGUGCAGGAGAGGAUAGUGGAAUUCCAGGUGUAGGGGUGAAAUGCGUAGAUAUUUGGAGGAACACCAGUGGCGAAGGCGACUUACUGG